rnacentral:rRNA from 1 species
AUUGAACGCCGGCGGCAUGCCUUACACAUGCAAGUCGAACGGCAGCACGGGUGCUUGCACCUGGUGGCGAGUGGCGAACGGGUGAGUAAUACAUCGGAACAUGUCCUGUAGUGGGGGAUAGCCCGGCGAAAGCCGGAUUAAUACCGCAUACGAUCCACGGAUGAAAGCGGGGGACCUUCGGGCCUCGCGCUAUAGGGUUGGCCGAUGGCUGAUUAGCUAGUUGGUGGGGUAAAGGCCUACCAAGGCGACGAUCAGUAGCUGGUCUGAGAGGACGACCAGCCACACUGGGACUGAGACACGGCCCAGACUCCUACGGGAGGCAGCAGUGGGGAAUUUUGGACAAUGGGCGAAAGCCUGAUCCAGCAAUGCCGCGUGUGUGAAGAAGGCCUUCGGGUUGUAAAGCACUUUUGUCCGGAAAGAAAUCCUUGACUCUAAUACAGUCGGGGGAUGACGGUACCGGAAGAAUAAGCACCGGCUAACUACGUG